AGGGACGCGCCCGCCGGGGACCACGACUACGCGCUGCCGGUGGGGAAGCAGCCGCCGCAGGACCUGCUGGAAGAGGACGACGCGGCGGGAGGAGUGUGCCUCCAUGUGGACAAGGAUAAGGUGUCGGUGGAGUUCUGCUCGGCGUGCGCCCGGAAGGCGUCGUCUUCUCUGAAAAUGUAGGGUCAAGUAAUCUGCUCUUUACCCGCGUUUCCCCCUCUCAGCUCCCUUAACACCAUGUCAAACUCCUUAGUGGGACAUCGUCACUGGACACAUUUCAGGUGGAGAGAAAAAAAAAAAAGUAAUAUUGAGUCUUUUAAGUGUUUAGCUAAAAGCAUGAAUGUGACACUGUAACCAACUCCCAAUGAUAACAUGUGACUAUUAAAUCUCUCUGACAGUUUCUUUUUUAGGUGAUUUCCUUCCUGCCAGGCUCCGUUGUAGGGGUUACAGAACAGUGGUUCCCGCCUCACCACCUGUGGAUACAGCUGUUGGGGCAGAAGAGACGGGACCAGCUGCUGGCCACAUUUCCUGCUUUAUUUUAAAAGGUAGUAUAAGAAAUGAGGAAAAGAGGUAAUAUCAGGGCUUCUGCUGUCUUUUCUUUUAAAAUGUUCAUAAUUAAAAGUUAUUCCAGCAGUCCAAAGAUGUAAGUUAUCUUACACACAAAAUGUUUUAUUUUGUUGUUAUUUGGUUAUGAAAAUGGAAUCCUUGUUCUUGCACAACUGUAAAUGUUUUGUUUCUAGAUAAUACUAGUUGAGACUUAACGGUCUCUGGUUUCCAGUGCAUCACAGCAAUUUUGUAAAACCAUCUUCUGCACUUGAGCAUGAAUGGGUAGUAGCCAAACUCACAGCCUGGAGUUAUGAAUCUGCUUAUAUCUAAGUGCAGGAGCAAGCCCCUCACGAUGCAGCUGCAUGGAUUUUUAGUGCCUACUGAAUUAUACAUAAACAUAUAUAUAUAAACCAAAAGUAGUUGGAAAAUUAUUUAAAAUGACUAAUUUGUGCUAUCAUUAUGAAAUAUGUUAAAUGUAGAUUUUUGAAACAGAAGUCUUGAAUUGAAAUUUAAUUAAUACUUGAACAUUUUGUAUAUAUUUCUUUGUAUAUAAUUUUGUGCAGUACCAAUGACAAAAAUAUGGUGUCAUAAUAAAACCAGGUUUGUUGAUCUUUCAGUUAUGGGCUCAAAGAAUUUUUUCAUCUCUAAUAUGACAUUGAAAAAUAAUGGAUGAGAAUAGGAAAAAUGAUUGUUAAUGCUGACUGUGGGUCUUAAAGGUUCUGGAAGCAGUAAGUGCGUUUUUCUAAAAAUUAUACCAUUCCUUGGAAUAUUUUCUUCCUAACAUCAGUGCUUUUCCUGCAUUAUUUGAAGUUGGGGCUGGGGAAAACAGUAGUCAAAAGCUUUCUGAAUUGGGAUGUUUUGAAAUUCCAAGUAUAGAUUUUUAGAAUGUCAUUUUAUAAAUGGCAGUUUUUGAAAAUACUUGAUUAAGAACUUUUGAAAGUGGAGAUUAGUAUCACCUAUUUUUAAAGCUGCUUUGUUAGGUUACUUAUGUUUUAACUGUCUUUUCUUAGUUUCCAUUUCAUUUUUUUUUCCCUCUAAUUUUGGUGACUCAGUGAUUUUUGUCAUUUUUUGCAUCAGCUUCAUAGUCUUGUUUUACAUGGUAUUGCAUGUAUUUAGGACCUGUCUAAUAGGGGCUUUAAAUAAAUUUGGUCAUAUUUAUGUAUAAACACAUUUUACUGUAAAUGUCUUGAGUUUCUGAAUUUACAACAGAUCUGUUUAUUUCAGUAUGUAGUAAACAAUAUCUUAAAAGUGUCCUAUUCACUACUUGUUAAUUAAAAAAGUUAUGAUUAAUAUGAAACUGUUGUCUUACUAUUUUUAGAAAAUUGUGUUCUGGUGAAUAAUAGUUGUAUAAAGAUUUCUGGAAUAUAUGGAUUGUUUUGAAAUUUUCCGGUUUGGUUUUAUUUACUGUAAUGGAUGAAAAUAGCAUUUGGGCAAUCUUUUUUUCCCCUCUGAAUUUUGCCUCUAUGGCAAAAUGAUACAGAACUAGACUACAGAUGUCGCUUUUUAAUAUUUGUCUUCUGAUGGUGACAGGAAUUCAUACAUUAACUGAACUAACAUCAUAUUGACCUAUUUCUAUCAUAUUGACUACUGUUUCUGUACUUCCUUGACCUGACUUAACUAAAAUGUCCGUGUUUGUUAAAAUGUAGUCACACCUCUGAUAUAAGCCGACAAAAAGUGUUCAAAAUAUUUUAAAUAUUUGUACAUUUUAUAAUCACUAAAUUAAUCUCUCUCUCUUCUCUUUGAACAGCUUAGCAGUGUCUGCAAAAGCGAAUCUUUUCCUACAACCUGUUAACUGACUGGACUGAUGGUAACAAAGUAGUUGUGGGAGCCAUGUCUGUCAAAAAUUUGGCAUCUGCUGAAAAAAAUGAAUGCCAUUUUCAAGUUCCCAAAUUACUGCUAUAGUGGUUUCACUUUCCAGAAAUGGAGAUUUGAAAAGAUUCUCUGGAAUCCUUGAAAGACUUAAUAGAAAUACAUGAGACUAAGUUAAUUUUGGAACAAAAUUAUACUUUUUUUUGGUCUUUCAAAGGAAUGAUACUCAGUUCUUCGAAUACCUUUUUAAAAAUUGUAACUAUUGGAGAAGAGAUUAUAGUAUUUCAUCAAGGAGUAUUAGAUUCUUUACAUAAUCAAGAGCACAUUCUAUGGAAUUAUGUUUAGUGGAGUAGAAUUGAUAAACAAGCCAUCAGAGAUCACAGGCAUAUCAUGAGUUUGUAUUUCCUGGAACAUGAAAGAUAAUCUGAAGUACAGACAGAUCUUGCCAAGUAGAAUAUGAAAGUUAAUGUCAAGUCCUUAACUAUAAAGAGUAAUUUUUUUAAAUAGAAGCAUUGUCUGUAUAUCUUUGAAAAAGUUGACUUAUGAUAAAAUGUGUGGGUAGUUAAUUGCAAUUCAGGGUAAUAUCAGGAUGUGUGGAUUCUGAGGUUUUGGCUUCUUGCGCUUUCUCUGAGUACUUGACACAAAAUUUUUUGAAUAUUUCGAGUUUUCUAAUGAAUGGUAUACUAGUUUCUACUGUUUCACUUAAUUAAAAUUUCUCUAGUGUUAUGUAAGGGCUUUAGUAUUCUGGAUGAUGGGAGUGGCUUUUUUCAUGGAAUAUGGGGUUUUAUUUAAUCGAAACAUUUCUCCAGUUUAUUACAGUGUGAAAAAAACACUCAAAACUC